rnacentral:rRNA from 2 species
GGUAUCAGAAGUGCGAAUGCUGACAUAAGUAACGAUAAAGCGGGUGAAAAGCCCGCUCGCCGGAAGACCAAGGGUUCCUGUCCAACGUUAAUCGGGGCAGGGUGAGUCGACCCCUAAGGCGAGGCCGAAAGGCGUAGUCGAUGGGAAACGGGUUAAUAUUCCCGUACUUGGUGUUACUGCGAAGGGGGGACGGAGAAGGCUAUGUUGGCCGGGCGACGGUUGUCCCGGUUUAAGCGUGUAGGUGUGUGUUCCAGGUAAAUCCGGUUCACUUUAACACUGAGGCGUGACGACGAGGCACUACGGUGCUGAAGCAACAAAUGCCCUGCUUCCAGGAAAAGCCUCUAAGCAUCAGGUAACAUCAAAUCGUACCCCAAACCGACACAGGUGGUCAGGUAGAGAAUACCAAGGCGCUUGAGAGAACUCGGGUGAAGGAACUAGGCAAAAUGGUGCCGUAACUUCGGGAGAAGGCACGCUGACACGUAGGUGAAGUGAUUUACUCAUGGAGCUGAAGUCAGUCGAAGAUACCAGCUGGCUGCAACUGUUUAUUAAAAACACAGCACUGUGCAAACACGAAAGUGGACGUAUACGGUGUGACGCCUGCCCGGUGCCGGAAGGUUAAUUGAUGGGGUCAGCGCAAGCGAAGCUCCUGAUCGAAGCCCCGGUAAACGGCGGCCGUAACUAUAACGGUCCUAAGGUAGCGAAAUUCCUUGUCGGGUAAGUUCCGACCUGCACGAAUGGCGUAAUGAUGGCCAGGCUGUCUCCACCCGAGACUCAGUGAAAUUGAACUCGCUGUGAAGAUGCAGUGUACCCGCGGCAAGACGGAAAGACCCCGUGAACCUUUACUAUAGCUUGACACUGAACAUUGAGCCUUGAUGUGUAGGAUAGGUGGGAGGCUUUGAAGUGUGGACGCCAGUCUGCAUGGAGCCGGCCUUGAAAUACCACCCUUUAAUGUUUGAUGUUCUAACGUGGACCCGUGAUCCGGGUUGCGGACAGUGUCUGGUGGGUAGUUUGACUGGGGCGGUCUCCUCCUAAAGAGUAACGGAGGAGCACGAAGGUUGGCUAAUCCUGGUCGGACAUCAGGAGGUUAGUGCAAUGGCAUAAGCCAGCUUGACUGCGAGCGUGACGGCGCGAGCAGGUGCGAAAGCAGGUCAUAGUGAUCCGGUGGUUCUGAAUGGAAGGGCCAUCGCUCAACGGAUAAAAGGUACUCCGGGGAUAACAGGCUGAUACCGCCCAAGAGUUCAUAUCGACGGCGGUGUUUGGCACCUCGAUGUCGGCUCAUCACAUCCUGGGGCUGAAGUAGGUCCCAAGGGUAUGGCUGUUCGCCAUUUAAAGUGGUACGCGAGCUGGGUUUAGAACGUCGUGAGACAGUUCGGUCCCUAUCUGCCGUGGGCGCUGGAGAACUGAGGGGGGCUGCUCCUAGUACGAGAGGACCGGAGUGGACGCAUCACUGGUGUUCGGGUUGUCAUGCCAAUGGCACUGCCCGGUAGCUAAAUGCGGAAGAGAUAAGUGCUGAAAGCAUCUAAGCACGAAACUUGCCCCGAGAUGAGUUCU